UAAAAACAAUUUUUUCAAGAAUGUAUAAGCAUUAAUCUUUGACUAGAUUUUGAUCUGCGCUUUCAAAACGCGAGAUUAUUUUCGAAACAUUCCAAAUUUAUUUGAUAUAAAUUUGUAUUUUAAUUGUAUCUACACUUAGAUAUUACAAAUAAAAAAUUAUAUUCAAUGUUUUGAAAUCCGAUCCGACCCGCAGUUAAAUUGCCAAAUUCGGUGGUUCAUAUGUAAUUCAUUUU
rnacentral:lncRNA from 1 species